UCAUGCUGCGGAUGCCCGGUUUCUAAGCCGGGCUCCGUAUUUUGAGAGGCUGUGGAAGAUUACAGUAAUUGCACUUGACAGGGCAAGAUGUCACAGGACGCGGAUUCGCUCGGCCGCGGGGCCCCGGCACCCAGCAGUCCUCGCUUGUGGCAUCCUUCCUGGCUUGUUCUCUGGUGCUUUGCUGAAAUAAAUCGGUACCCCAAAAUAAGGCAGGACAGCCCCUGAGUCCCGGCUGUGCAGCAGUGCUGGAUUUUGCAGAUCUGAUCCUGUGGAUGUUCUUGGGGGCUGCAGCCGCUGCUCUGGGCAGAGCUCAGGGCUGAGUGAGUUGGGAACACGGUACUGCGACCGAGUGUGCUCACCCAGAGUGCAGCGCUCCACUGUCAGCCAGAGCCACCAGCUGAGAGGGAGAGGAGGAAGGAGCUGCAGAGAACAGCGGGCAAUAACUGGAGCCCAAUAGUACUUUCCUGGCAGUUCACAAAGGCUACUGAAUUUAUGAGGCACUUCCACAUAUUCAG